rnacentral:rRNA from 1 species
AUUGAACGCUGGCGGCAGGCUUAACACAUGCAAGUCGAGCGCGCGGCGGACGGGUGAGUAAUGUCUGGGAAACUGCCUGAUGGAGGGGGCUAACUACUGGAAACGGUCGCUAAUACCGCAUACCAUCAGAUGUGCCCAGAUGGGAUUAGCUAGUGGGUGGGGUAAUGGCUCACCUAGGCGACGAUCCCUAGCUGGUCUGAGAGGAUGACCAGCCACACUGGAACUGAGACACGGUCCAGACUCCUACGGGAGGCAGCAGUGGGGAAUAUUGCACAAUGGGCGCAAGCCUGAUGCAGCCAUGCCGCGUGUGUGAAGAAGGCCGUCGGGUUGUAAAGCACUUUCAGCGAGGAGGCGUUAAUCGCAGAAGAAGCACCGGCUAACGCCGUGCCAGCAGCCGCGGUAAUAC